CAGUCGCCGCGGGAAUACGAAGGGUGCAAGCGCUAAUCGGAAUUACUGGGCGUAAAGCGUGCGUAGGCGGUGAGUUAAGUCUGCUGUGAAAUCCCCGGGCUCAACCUGGGAAUGGCAGUGGAUACUGGCUCGCUAGAGUGUGUCAGAGGAUGGUGGAAUUCCCGGUGUAGCGGUGAAAUGCGUAGAGAUCGGGAGGAACAUCAGUGGCGAAGGCGGCCAUCUGGGACAACACUGACGCUGAGGCACGAAAGCGUGGGGAGCAAACAGGAUUAGAUACCCCAGUAGUCCCUGUCUCUUAUAC
rnacentral:rRNA from 1 species